rnacentral:rRNA from 1 species
UGCGUAGGGUGCAAGCGUUGUCCGGAAUUAUUGGGCGUAAAGAGCUCGUAGGCGGUUUGUCGCGUCUGGUGUGAAAAUCCAGGGCUUAACCCUGGACCUGCAUCGGGUACGGGCAGACUAGAGUGCGGUAGGGGAGAUCGGAAUUCCUGGUGUAGCGGUGAAAUGCGCAGAUAUCAGGAGGAACACCGGUGGCGAAGGCGGGUCUCUGGGCCGUAACUGACGCUGAGGAGCGAAAGCAUGGGGAGCGAACAGG